GACAAAUUUCUGAGGUUAAUAAUAAAAGAGAUAAGCUAGGUUGGAAUCCUGCUGAGAACAAUUUUCUCGACUUCAUUUUCCGACGCUAUUAGGCACUUCAUUACCUCCCUGGGUUCCUCUUCUUUCUCUGUUUCAUUCUUCUCGAUUGAAAUCUCUUCCCUUUUCUUUGUUCUUGACUUUAAUCAUCAUCAAUUUCCAACAGUAACAUGAAUUAAUUCCAGAUUGUUUCACAGAAAUCUCUUAACAAAUACCCCAGAAGUUCAAAUCAAACCCAAAAUUUUGAGAGCGUUUGAGAAAUGGGUUGAACUGAUUGGAUUAACUUACUUCUUCGAUUACAGAAAAGUUGGAAAUCUCAAUUUGGGGUUAGGGCUUGCCAUUUCAGUUAGGGUUUCCCAAGCUUUUCUCAAAAGCUUCAUGAUGCUCAUAGUCUUCUACUAAAUUGGUUUCGAUUUCCCUUCCUUAACAUGUUAGCAUUUCAAAUUUGAUUCCCUAAUUUACUUUAAGUGUUUGUGAGCUUCAAGUGUUUGUAAAAAUGUCAACCACCUGUAAAAAGACCAAUUUUCUCUAUAUGGGUUCGCCCCAGUACUCAGGAUCUCCCCCAUUGCUCAUGUGUAUAUAAGGAUCAUUGUGUUAGAUUUUAAGUUGUACAUGUUCACCUUACUGUUUUUGGUACUUGGUUCCCGAAUCAGUAUACUUAUUUCAUUUGUAGUGGGGUGAAUAGUCAUGCAUUGCAGACUUACUUAGUGAUGGUGUAUAUUUGUGCAAUUAGUUAAUAAGAGAAACAGUUACUUUUCUUGGUGCACUUAAUAAUUCUCACUGUGGCAUAUGCAGUCUUGAAGCAAGGUGUGAGUCUUCCUAUAAAAAGAAGUGAACUCGGUAACACUCAUGAUUCUGAAAGCACUCAACAGUCUUUAAGUCUUGACUCAACUAAAGGUUCAACUGAAUGGUGGAUGUCAAAGCUCGGAAUCGCUGGCAAUGUUCUUCUGAAAGAUGGUCAUCAAACUAUUGCUGGUGACUUGCAUUAUUUUCAUAUAUAAAUUCAAAAGAUGUCUCUAUAGCAAGGGCACGCACUGAUUUAAGCCUCUCAGCAUCACCUUCUUGGAAAAGAUAGUGGUGGCGUCAUUUGAGGCAAAGGGAGGUUGGGAUGGUGCAACGGAAGACCAAAAGACUGACAUUUAUGUCAUGAGUGAAGAGGUGCCCUAUGGUUACAGGUUGGUUGUGAAGAAUGGGUGUUGGCGGACUUGGCUAAGGACGUGACAACAUCAUAUUCUUCCUCCGCAUGAAUGAAAUUAUUUUGGGGUGUGUACCAAGCUGAUAUUUGGUAGUAGUGGUGGUAUUAUUCCAAUAACCAUAGAUCGCAUGACCAUUGAUGCAUCCACACCUGCAGCCAUGGACGCCACAACUGUAGCUGUUUUAAAUAUUCAGCAGGAUUCAGAUGUCAGCGAUAUCACUGAGUAAGCACAAUAUCGAGACAUGUGGGAGAUGAGCGAAAAGGAUGAAAAUAAACUUUAUGCAUCCGUCAGACCUUCUUCCUGUAUUGUUCAAACUGCUAACAUGCAAAAGGUGUCCAAAUGGGGACGUCAAUGCCUUCCCGUCCCAGCAGUCCUAUUGAGUUUCAUCGCUUUGAUAUGUUAAUUUCAGUAGAAAUACCAACAUUUCAUGGUAUAGCAUUUUACCAAAAAAUUAGAUUAUUUUUGACAA